AACGAACGCUGGCGGCAUGCCUAACACAUGCAAGUCGAACGAGACCUUCGGGUCUAGUGGCGCACGUGUGCGUAACGCGUGGGAACCUGCCCUUAGGUUCGGAAUAACUCCCCGAAAGGGGUGCUAAUACCGGAUAAUGUCUUCGGACCAACGAUUUAUCGCCUUUGGAUGGGCCCGCGUUGGAUUAGCUAGUUGGUAGGGUAAAAGCCUACCAAGGCGACGAUCCAUAGCUGGUCUGAGAGGAUGAUCAGCCACACUGGGACUGAGACACGGACCAGACUCCUACGGGAGGCAGGAGUGGGGAAUAUUAGACGAUGGGCGAAAGCCUGAUCAAGCAAUGCCGCGUGAGUGAUGAAGGCCUUAGGGUUGUAAAGCUCUUUUACCCGAGAUGAUAAUGACAGUACCGGGAGAAGAAGCACCGGCUAACUCCGUG
rnacentral:rRNA from 1 species